rnacentral:rRNA from 1 species
GUAGGUGGCAAGCGUUGUCCGGGAUUAUUGGGCGUAAAGCGCGCGCAGGCGGUUCUUUAAGUCUGAUGUGAAAGCCCACGGCUCAACCGUGGAGGGUCAUUGGAAACUGGAGAACUUGAGUACAGAAGAGGAAAGCGGAAUUCCACGUGUAGCGGUGAAAUGCGUAGAGAUGUGGAGGAACACCAGUGGCGAAGGCGGCUUUCUGGUCUGUAACUGACGCUGAGGCGCGAAAGCGUGGGGAGCAAACAGGAUUAGAUACCCUGGUAGUCCACGCCGUAAACGAUGAGUGCUAAGUGUUAGGGGGUUUCCGCCCCCCUUAGUGCUGCAGCUAACGCAUUAAGCACUCCGCCUGGGAGUACGGCCGCAAGGCUG